rnacentral:ncRNA from 1 species
AAAACAGCCCUUUUAAGGGCUAAACAAAUUUUUCAAAAAAAGAGUCU